rnacentral:rRNA from 1 species
GGUCUGUGGGCAUGGGAUGGGGUCGCGUCCUAUCAGCUUGUAGGCGGGGUAAUGGCCCACCUAGGCUUCGACGGGUAGCCGGCCUGAGAGGGCGGACGGCCACAUUGGGACUGAGAUACGGCCCAGACUCCUACGGGAGGCAGCAGUGGGGAAUAUUGCGCAAUGGGGGAAACCCUGACGCAGCGACGCCGCGUGCGGGAUGAAGGCCUUCGGGUUGU